GUCCACACUGUAAACGAUGAAUACUAGGUGUGCGGGGACUGACCCCCUGCGUGCCGCAGUUAACACAAUAAGUAUUCCACCUGGGGAGUACGAUCGCAAGGUUGAAACUCAAAGGAAUUGACGGGGGCCCGCACAAGCGGUGGAUUAUGUGGUUUAAUUCGAAGCAACGCGAAGAACCUUACCAGGGUUUGACAUCCUGCUAACGAAGUAGAGAUACAUUAGGUGCCCUUCGGGGAAAGCAGAGACAGGUGGUGCAUGGUUGUCGU
rnacentral:rRNA from 1 species